GAUGAACGCUGGCGGCGUGCCUAAUACAUGCAAGUCGAGCGAACGGACGAGAAGCUUGCUUCUCUGAUGUUAGCGGCGGACGGGUGAGUAACACGUGGAUAACCUACCUAUAAGACUGGGAUAACUUCGGGAAACGGAGCUAAUACCGGAUAAUAUUUUGAACCGCAUGGUUCAAAAGUGAAAGACGGUCUUGCUGUCACUUAUAGAUGGAUCCGCGCUGCAUUAGCUAGUUGGUAAGGUAACGGCUUACCAAGGCAACGAUGCAUAGCCGACCUGAGAGGGUGAUCGGCCACACUGGAACUGAGACACGGUCCAGACUCCUACGGGAGGCAGCAGUAGGGAAUCUUCCGCAAUGGGCGAAAGCCUGACGGAGCAACGCCGCAUGAGUGAUGAAGGUCUUCGGAUCGUAAAACUCUGUUAUUAGGGAAGAACAUAUGUGUAAGUAACUGUGCACAUCUUGACGGUACCUAAUCAGAAAGCCACGGCUAACUACGUG
rnacentral:rRNA from 1 species